UACGUAGGGGGCGAGCGUUGUCCGGAAUCAUUGGGCGUAAAGGGUGCGUAGGCGGCGGGGCAAGUCUGAUGUGAAAUCCCGGGGCUCAACCCCGGAACUGCAUUGGAUACUGCCUUGCUCGAGUACUGGAGAGGGAACUGGAAUUUACGGUGUAGCAGUGAAAUGCGUAGAGAUCGUAAGGAAGGCCAGUGGCGAAGGCGAGUUCCUGGACAGUUACUGACGCUGAGGCACGAAGGCCAGGGGAGCAAACGGG
rnacentral:rRNA from 1 species